GGUUCUAUAGUAAAAAAAUAACACUAGAUUGCAAAUCUAGAGAUGUGCAUGUGUACUGGAACUU
rnacentral:tRNA from 1 species